ensembl:lncRNA
GAGAGAUGGAGGGAGGGAGAGGGAGAGAGAGAGAGAGGGAGAGAGGGGAGAGAGAGAUAGGGAGGGGGGAAAGGAGAUUGCUGUCUCGUUCCAAACAAAGGUAACCAAAUAGGAAGAAGGAGCAGAAAAAUAUUUAGCGCAGUGUGCAAAAGAAAGAAAAAAGGGAAAGAAAGAAAAGCAAUAAAAAAUGACUUUGACGGACCCAAGGAAACUGUUGAAGAGUUUACAGGAUAAACAUCUCCAUCUCUGACGAGUCAGCGCGGCCCUAACAGCCACGUAGAUUCACUCAAGUGUUUGCUUCAUCACUCAUCUCAGUCUCACAAUAUCUGUAAACAAGAUUCUGUGUAAAAAAAUGGGUUGUUGAAGUCUGUAGCUGGGGCCUCUGGAUGAAGUAAUGUUGUGGUGUACAGAGGACGUUAGAGAGAGGACUCCAGGACUCCAGAGAGAGGACGUUAGAGAGAGGACUCUAGAGAGAGGACUCAGAGAGAGAUCAGAGAGGACUCAGAGAGGACUCAGAGAGGACUCAGAGAGGACUCAGAGAGGACUCUAGAGAGAGGACUCUAGAGAGAGGACUCAGAGAGAGAUCAGAGAGGACUCAGAGAGGACUCAGAGAGGACUCAGAGAGAGGACUCAGAGAGAGGACUCAGAGAGGACUCAGAGAGGACUCAGAGAGGACUCAGGGAGAGGACUCAGAGAGGACUCAGAGAGGACUCUAGGAGGACUCAGAGUGGACUCUAGGCCUGGAUACCAGAGAGAGGACUCCACAGACGAAGCGGCCUCAGGUCUGGAUCCUGAGCAGCAGAACACACAGGCCCAUGGCGCCAGAGGGCUCUGAGAGAACCCUGCACCGCAGCGUAUUUAAGAAACCACCGCAAUAAUACCCAAACUAUUAUGCUAUUUUUGAAUGUACUACUAUCGAUAUUAUUUAAACAGAGAAUAUGUACAUUUCUUUGCAGAUACAAAGAUAUGCCAAGUGACAUUUGUGUUGUUAUGAAACAUUAUGCAAUUAACGGCAAAUUUAACUUAAAGGACACAUUAUGUAUUUAAGAAAACUGUACGGUGUAUUUAAUCUUGAACUUAUUUAAGAUGGCUGCACUCUACAGAACAGGACGUGAUGACACGCUGCUUUACUCACAAUGACUUAAGGGAUUGAGUUAUGGUGGCUUUGUCUCUGUACUUAUGGUCCGUGUUGGUUCGCAUUUACUGUCAGUGUUCUUUUAAAUGUCUUCAGAUAUUUUGUGUUCAAAAAUGAAUUUAACACGGUCAAAUGGUGUUGCCUUUAUAAGCUCAACUAAUAUGUCUGAUGGAGGCUUGUGUGUAUAAUAGCUACAGUGUGUACAGCGGUUAUAUUCGUCGUGAUGUCAGCAUGUGUAAACACUAAAACCCUUUGGAGCAGGGAUGGCCUUUCACAAGUCGUCCUUCUUUUGUUUGAUUGCUGUUUUCUGUGAAUACUCAAAGAAAUCUUAGAUUCCAGUGCUCAAUUUUACCUCUAAAUGGAAAGGUUUAUGCAGCAGCCUAUGAAUUAUUUGACAUUGUCUCAAAAUAUUAUGCCAGUAAUAAACAGAACGAGAUGUGCAACUAUCAAAA